rnacentral:rRNA from 1 species
GAUGAACGCUGGCGGCGUGCUUAACACAUGCAAGUCGAGCGAAGCGCUUAAGUUUGAUUCUUCGGAUGAAGACUUUUGUGACUGAGCGGCGGACGGGUGAGUAACGCGUGGGUAACCUGCCUCAUACAGGGGGAUAACAGUUAGAAAUGACUGCUAAUACCGCAUAAGACCACAGGAUUGCAUGAUCCGGUGGUAAAAACUCCGGUGGUAUGAGAUGGACCCGCGUCUGAUUAGCUAGUUGGUGGGGUAACGGCUCACCAAGGCGACGAUCAGUAGCCGACCUGAGAGGGUGACCGGCCACAUUGGGACUGAGACACGGCCCAAACUCCUACGGGAGGCAGCAGUGGGGAAUAUUGCACAAUGGGCGAAAGCCUGAUGCAGCGACGCCGCGUGAAGGAUGAAGUAUUUCGGUAUGUAAACUUCUAUCAGCAGGGAAGAAAAUGACGGUACCUGACUAAGAAG